UACGGGAGGCAGCAGGGGGAAUAUUGCACAAUGGGCGAAAGCCUGAUGCAGCUAUGCCGCGUGUAUGAAGAAGGCCUUAGGGUUGUAAAGUACUUUCAUCGGGGAGGAAAAAACAAAACUAAUAAUUUUAUUUCUUGACGUUACCCGAAAAAGAAGCACCGGCUAACUCCGUGCCAGCAGCCGCGGUAAUACGGAGGGUGCUAGCGUUAAUCAGAAUUACUGGGCGUAAAGAGCACGUAGGUGGUUUUUUUAAAGUCAGAUGUGAAAUCCCUGGGCUUAACCUAGGAACUGCAUUUUGAAACUGAAAUACUAGAGUAUCGUAGAGGGAGGUAGAAUUCUAGGUGUAGCGGUGAAAUGCGUAGAUAUCUGGAGGAAUACCUGUGGCGAAAGCGGCCUCCUAAACGAAUACUGACACUGAGGGUGCGAAAGCGUGGGGAGCAAAACAGGGAUUAGAUACC
rnacentral:rRNA from 1 species